UUGACAUGUAUGGAAGUUUCCAGAGAUGGAUUCGUGCUCGAAAGAGAGCCAUAACACAGGUGCUGCAUGGCUGUCGUCAGCUCGUGUCGUGAGAUGUUGGGUUAAGUCCCGCAACGAGCGCAACCCUUGUCAUUAGUUGCUACAUUUAGUUGGGCACUCUAAUGAGACUGCCGGUGACAAGCCGGAGGAAGGUGGGGAUGACGUCAAGUCCUCAUGGCCCUUAUAGGUGGGGCUACACACGUCAUACAAUGGCCGGUACAAAGGGUCGCAAACCCGCGAGGGGGAGCUAAUCCAUCAAAGCCGGUCGUAGUCCGGAUCGCAGUCUGCAACUCGACUGCGUGAAGUCGGAAUCGCUAGUAAUCG
rnacentral:rRNA from 1 species